rnacentral:sRNA from 1 species
AUCAUUAAAGAAGAUGUCAUGUGUUUCACUUAGUGGGUUGUAACUGUAGAAUUAUUGUUGUAGAGAUUUUGUUGUAGAUGUGUUGGAUGUAUCUGUAACUUUUGUUGCUGUAGAAUUAUUGUUGUAAGUUUUUUGCUUUAAAUAUU